rnacentral:rRNA from 1 species
CCUACGGGAGGCAGCAGUGGGGGAUAUUGCACAAUGGGGGAAACCCUGAUGCAGCGACGCCGCGUGGGCGAAGAAGUAUUUCGGUAUGUAAAGCCCUAUCAGCAGGGAAGAAGAAAUGACGGUACCUUAGUAAGAAGCACCGGCUAAAUACGUGCCAGCAGCCGCGGUAAUACGUAUGGUGCAAGCGUUAUCCGGAUUUACUGGGGGUAAAGGGAGCGCAGGCGGCACGGCAAGUCUGAUGUGAAAGCCCGCGGCCCAACCGCGGGACUGCAUUGGGAACUACCGGGCUGGAGUGCCGGAGAGGUAGGCGGAAUUCCUAGUGUAGCGGUGAAAUGCGUAGAUAUUAGGAGGAACACCAGUGGCGAAGGCGGGCUACUGGACGGUGACUGACGCUGAGGCUCGAAAGCGUGGGGAGCAAACAGGAUUAGAUACCCCGGUAGUC